rnacentral:rRNA from 1 species
GGGAAGAAUUAACUUGUUAAUUUGGUAACCAUGGCGGACGGGUGAGUAACGCGUAAAGAACUUACCUUUCAGACUGGGAUAACAGAGGGAAACUUCUGAUAAGACCGGAUAUAAUUAAUUGAUUGCAUGAGAGAUUAAUGAAAAGAGAUGCUGAAAGAGAGCUUUGCGUCCUAUUAGCUAGUUGGUAAGGUAAUGGCUUACCGAGGCGAUGAUAGGUAGCCGGCCUGAGAGGGUGGACGGCCACAAGGGGACUGAGAUACGGCCCUUACUCUUACGGGAGGCAGCAGUGGGGAAUAUUGGACAAUGGAGGAGACUCUGAUCCAGCAAUUCUGUGUGCACGAAGAAGGUUUUCGGAUUGUAAAGUGCUUUCAGUGGGGAAGAAGGAAGUGACGGUACCCACAGAAGAAGCGACGGCUGAAUACGUGCCAGCAGCCGCGGUAAUACGUAUGUCGCGAGCGUUAUCCGGAAUUAUUGGGCAUAAAGGGCAUCUAGGCGGACGAUCAAGUCAGGGGUGAAAACUUGCGGCUCAACUGUAAGCUUGCCUUUGAAACUGAUUGUCUAGAGUAUUGGAAAGGUGGGCGGAACUACACGAGUAGAGGUGAAAUUCGUAGAUAUGUGUAGGAACGCCGAUGAUGAAGAUAGCUCACUGGACGAUAACUGACGCUGAAGUGCGAAAGCUAGGGGAGCGAACAGGAUUAGAUACCCUGGUAGUCCUAGCUGUAAACGAUGAUCACUGGGUGUGGGCAGGAAGACUGUCUGUGCCGAAGCAAAUGCGAUAAGUGAUCCGCCUGGGGAG